rfam:Asian citrus Psyllid, Diaphorina citri - Florida Strain, whole genome shotgun sequence.
GCCUAGUUAGCUUAGUUGGUAGUGCGUCUGCCUUCUAAGCGCUAGGCCGCAGGUUUAAUUCCUGCCCGGAGCG